CCCUUAGAUGUCCUGGGCCGCACGCGCGCUACACUGGGUGUCUGAGAUACGAGUCUGCCUGGUCCGGCAAGGUCUAGGUAAUCGCUAAAAGACACAUCAUGCUCGGGAUAGAUUAUUGCAAAUAUUAAUCUUGAACGAGGAAUUCCUAGUAAGCGCAAGUCAACAGCUUGCGUUGAUUACGUCCCUGCCCUUUGUACACACCGCCCGUCGCUACUACUGAUUGGAUGUUUAAGCGAGGUUCUCGAACUGCUAGCGACUUAGCUUCGGUGAGGUCGCAGUGUGGGAAGUGAACCUAGCUUUGGUGUCUAGAGGAAGUAAAAGUCGUAACA
rnacentral:rRNA from 1 species